CGUAUCAUGUACAGUACAUGAAUGAUCCAUCUCGUUUUUCAGCUCAGUCUUGUCAGAUUCAUUAGGUUCAGCUGUGUCCCCCUCCUGUGUGCAGUUUCCUCAUUUCCCUCUGCAUGUAUUUAUAGUAGUGAUGGCCAAACAAAGCUUUCUGAAGCAUUGAAGCUUGUGUUGAAAAACAGUUCAUUACUCGAAGCUUUUUAACACAGUCCACCCUGGG